rnacentral:rRNA from 1 species
AUGGCCGGAGCUCAUCAUAAGGUCGGCGAGCUGUUGCACCACACGCCGCGCAGCUCGACGGCCGCGGUCGACAAGGCAAUGUCCUCGCCCUCCAGUUCAUACGCGCAGCACCACGUCGUCAAGGAGCGCGUGGCGCGGUGGCGGCGCGCGCUCGCCGGGCGGUUCUGGCCGCGUGUCGGCUCGCUGCUCGUCCAGGUCGCCUACUUCCUAGCCGUCUCCUGGCUCGGGUACCUCCUCCUCGCGCAGCUCAGGUUCCGCGGCGACGGGACGAGGCGGCCCCGCGGCAUCGACCUGUUCUUCACCGCCGUCUCGGCCGCGACGGUGUCCAGCAUGUCCACCGUUGAGAUGGAGGUUUUCUCCAACGGGCAGCUCCUCGUCUUGACAGUACUCAUGCUCGUCGGCGGUGAGGUGUUUUUAUCUCUCAUAUGCCUCGCGUCCAAGUGGUUCAAGCUGAGGAAGCAAGCUGUACACAAGUCGUCCAGGCGCGUCGAGAUCCACCACGUCGCCGAGCUUGAGAUGCCGCCGGCCGCCGCCGCUGGCAUCGAUAACCCAACGUCGACUACCGCCGAUGAUGAGACGAGCAAGUCGUUGGAGCACGUACCUGACACGAGGCUUCGGCGCGACGCAGUGCUGUCGCUGUUCUUCGUCGUCCUCGCCAUCCUCCUAGCGGUGCACGCCCUCGGCGCCAUCGCCAUCGCGGCGUACAUCCUGCACGCGUCGCCGGCGGCGAGGCGGACGCUGCGGAGCAAGGCUCUGAACGUCUGGACCUUCUCCGUGUUCACGACGGUGUCCACGUUCUCGAGCUGCGGGUACAUGCCGACGAACGAGAACAUGAUCGUCUUCAAGCGGGACACCGGGCUGCAGCUGCUGCUCGUGCCGCAGGCGCUGGUCGGGAACACGCUGUUCCCGCCGCUGCUGGCCGCGUGCGUGCGCGCCGCCGCCGCGGCGACCAGGUGCGUGGAGCUCAGGGAGACGGUGAAACAGGGCGGGGAGCUGACGGGGUACUACCACCUGCUCCCGGCGCGGCGGUGCGCGAUGCUGGCGGCGACGGUGGUGGGCUUCCUCACCGUGCAGGUGGCGAUGCUGUGCGGCAUGGAGUGGAGCGGCGCGCUGCGGGGGAUGAGCCCGUGGGAGAAGGUGUCCAACGCGGUGUUCCUGGCGGUGAACUCCCGGCACACCGGCGAGUCGACCCUGGACAUCUCCACCGUCGCGCCGGCCAUCCUCGUCCUCUUCGUGCUCAUGAUGUAUCUGCCUCCAUACACCACAUGGUUUCCAUUUGAGGGGAACUCCAGUACAAAGGAUCACCCCAAGCACGAGGAGGCACGGGGGAUCAAGUUGAUCAAGAGCACAAUCUUAUCACAGCUCUCCUACCUCACCAUCUUCGUCAUUGCCAUCUGCGUCACGGAGAGGGAGAAGCUCAAGGAAGACCCCCUCAACUUCAACCUGCUCAGCAUCGUCGUCGAAGUUGUCAGCGCUUAUGGAAAUGUGGGAUUCUCCAUGGGCUACAGUUGCAGUAGGCAGAUCAGCCCGGACCAGCUCUGCACCGACAGGUGGACCGGCUUCGUCGGGAGGUGGAGCGAUUCCGGCAAGCUCAUCCUCAUUCUCGUGAUGCUCUUCGGGAGGCUCAAGAAGUUCAGCAUGAAAGGAGGCAAAGCCUGGAAGCUUAGUUAG